rnacentral:rRNA from 1 species
GUCCACGCCGUAAACGAUGAGAACUAGAUGUUGGGUAGCUAAGGCUAUCUAGUAUCGUAGCUAACGCGAUAAGUUCUCCGCCUGGGGAGUACGGCCGCAAGGUUAAAACUCAAAGGAAUUGACGGGGGCCCGCACAAGCGGUGGAGCAUGUGGUUUAAUUCGAUGCAACGCGAAGAACCUUACCUACUCUUGACAUCCUGGGGAGCUUGUAGAGAUACGAGCGUGCCCGCGAGGGAACCCAGAGACAGGUGCUGCAUGGCUGUCGU